ACUCCCUCACUGUCUUUUAGGGAUAAGAUGAUGAAGGCAGUUCAGUCUGCCGCUCUGCCUCUGAUGAUGGUUAUGAUGAUGAUGAUAAGGGUCUCCGCUGGUCCUCUUCCUCCUUCAUUUGACAGGGAUGAUGAUCUGAACGCUGACACUUCUUACCUGCUGAAGACCAGAGAGGAAAACUCCACCAGUUUUGAGUCCCGUCAACAUGUCAACAACACUGAAGAUGACACAA